UUGAAAUGAAAAUCGAAUAAUAUUGAUUUACUUAAAGGUGAAAGAUGUUUGUACAGAGUUUUUAUAACAAAUGUUAUGAUUGACAAGCUCAUUCCAUGAUAAGACAUCGUUUAGUGAAUUUCAAAUUAUAAUCAUGUAGAAAUUAUCGAAGUAUCUAAAUUAGAGAGGAGAGAAUUGAUAUGAAAAUUUUACAAACAAGUUUUAUAAAGAAAUUAUUUGAUCUUGCAUUGUUGAUAGAAGCAAAUUAAUAUUUAUUUAAAUUAUUAAAUUGAAAUGUGUGAAUGUGUAAAAGUUAUUCAAAAAAAAAAAAAAAAAAAUUAAAUUUCUGAGAUGUAAAUAGAAUUGUUGAAGAAAUAAAAAAGAUACAAGCUUUCGAUUAUUCGGAUAACUACUUCAAUCAUACCUCCUUCAAAUAUGGAUGUUUGAGAACUUCCUUCAUGGAGCACGUGAUAGCCUAUUGGAUAAGUAUGCCUGAUUGACAACCUCUUUACGAGGUUACAAGCUAUCGUUUAUUCAAUGCUAUGUGAAACAGCACAAGGAGAGAACAGUUUAAAUCACUGGCAAAGAUACACCAGGUCGUUGCUCGAGUUUAUUGCUUCGAAGGGCAUAAAAAAUGCACAAAAAAAAUCUUUUAUAGAGUGGUAAUUUUGACACAAUGGUUUGAAUUGAAAUUAACGAAUAACAUUGGCAGUGCCAUGGGGAAAUUCGCCUCAGUCUUCAACGAAAUAUGUCUAUAUCCGGCUUGAAGGCCGUCCAGUGGCAAAAUACGUUGACCCAACAAUUUCCCGCUCUCUUCGUAUACACCUAUCCGAACAAUAAAUGUCAAGUGAAGAAAUCAAAAUUAUACGAUUAUUUUCUGAUAGUGGAAGCAACUUGCUUCUUUAAUCAUUAUUAAAUUUAACGUUAAAAAAUAGUAUACAGUCUUUUGUUAGAAGAAAAGAAUAAAUGAUAUGAAAUUUUUUUUAUGUAUUGCAAGAUCAUUAUCUUAUCUAGAAUAAUAAAAUUCUGAAAAAAGAUUCAUUCAGAAGAAAAGUAUUAGAGAGGUAAUAUUUAAUGAAUGUUAAUAUUAAGAAAGGAUACGAAUGUAAAGUUUCAUAUCAAAAUUCUGAGAAAAGAUUUAUUCAAUGGAAAAGUGUUCGGAAUAAAAAUUGUUGAAUUUAAAAUAUAAUUAAAUUAAAUUUAUAAAAUUAAAUAAUUUUUUGUAACAAAUCGAUUAAGUUUAAGAAUAAUCCCUUUUAUACUGUGUGCUAUAUUUACUAUAUUUUAAAGAAAAAUAUCUAGAUAUUUUACUUUA